GUCCUUGUCGAUUAGUGGUUAAAUCAUCACGUUGUGGAAUACCAAACCGUGAAGCCGGAGGUUCGAAUCCUCCCUGGGACA
rnacentral:tRNA from 1 species